AAGGAAGUGACAGAGUGGUCAUGUAGCCGGCUUGAAACCAGCAUAUGGGGGUUCAAUUCCUUCCUUCCUUG
rnacentral:tRNA from 1 species